UAAACUUGAUCAGUAAGAGCACUGAACAGUGCUCGUAGUGUAUAUCGGAACAUAUCCCAAGAUCUUGGUCAAAUUUUGUAGAGUUUCUUGCACUCUUUUGAAAUAUGCAGAGAGAGUUCAAGAUUUUCGAAAACUGACGAAACGACGUUCGUUUUUCGAAAUCCCCUAAUGGGAAACCCAAUUUUCGUGAUUUUUAUUGAAAAUUUUACACGAAAUUUGCCAAUCUUUGUGCUGGUGUCGACUUUAUGGGCAUUAUUGUGGGAUGUAUUCAGAUUUUCUAAUCCAAAUAAUAUUACUCAAAUUUGAUACACUCAUACCUGGAGGAAUAAAUGACCAGACAUCGUAUGAUGUAUGACAUCGAAGACCACAUAUCAAUUUGCUGGUAAAGACUAACAAAAAAAAAAAAAAAACACAAAAUACCGGUCAAAACAUUCAAAUCAGGGAUUUAUUGUAGUAAAAACAAUAUCGUGUAAAUCCUAAUUUCUAAUCAAACAGCAGUUCGAUCGUUUUUACAACUAUAGUCUUGGAUGCUUGGCCGUUCUGAAUACUCAAUACUAUAGUUGUCCGAAUAUUCACUUACUUUCACGUUCCACACGUAACAUUUUUGUAUGCUUCAUAUCGGAAAAAAAUAAAUAUCGUAAAAAAUCCCUUUUGUAUUUCUUUACUAUUAUUUCCUUUAAAGGAAUAAGAGUUUGAAAAAUAUUCAUUGUCAGUUGCAAACUGACACUACCGCCUAUAUCGAGCCAAUGCCGAUUUCACUAAAAGACGAUACAGGUUGAAUCUGAUUGGCCAAUAAAUUCGGACCUAAGCACACUACUGGCAAAAAUGUGCCACGCAACACGAAACUAACGGAACCGACCGUUUUAGUUAGAUAUUAAAAAUGUAUAAUUACCCGCAUCAUCACGCGUUCUUAGCGGUUGUCAUAUAUGCACCUAAAUCGCAAAACGCUAGAUAUUUACCCAAUCGUGUAUUAUAUCGUCGAAUUGACGGGACCAAUAAAAUGUUGAGUACAGUACCUUAAGCGGGUACCCUGGUCGAUUUCGACAUUGGCGAAUGUAUCUCCAAAUAUCAAAGUCCGCAUAUCUCAAACGUGAAGAAGGUAAAAUGCUGAACAAAAACGAUACAAUACAUUUUCAAUUAAUGCAGAAAUAAAGAAAUGGCAUGAAUUCUACGAAUUUACUAUUGCGAUUUCUUAGAAUCCAUACCAUUUCUUUAUUUCUGCGUCAAAUGAAAUUAUAUCGGAGUGUGUUUGUUCAGAAUUGCGUAUAAAAUGGGGCUGUUGGGCCCUUCUUUCGCGCUUGAGAUACGUGAUUUCGGUAUUUGGAGAUUUAUACGAGAACGUCGUAAUCAAGUAAACCACCCCCUUAAAGUUUUUUAAACACUGAAUUGAAAAUCAGAAUUUCACCUAGUACAAGUAUAUUAAUAAUUUCGUAAAGGUUUCACACGAUAUCAAACUUCGGAAAAUAUUUACUGUAUUUAUUCGCGAGAUGAUGGGGACUGAUUGUUUGAAGAUCAAAUCGAAACCCUAAAUAUCAAUGAUUCUUCAUGAGACCACUAUAAGUUCUUGUCACCUUAUAUUCAUUUAAUCAACCAUUAUUGCCUCUCAAGGGUGGAAAUUCAUAUUAUGGCAGUUCUAUUUUCAGACAAAAAAUGUUAUCAUACCGCAGAUGAAAAAUAAUGUGAAGAGUUUUUUAUUGGAAUAAUAUAUUGCAUUCAUUUUUUAACAAACAAUACAUUCAAUUUUUCUGUAGCAAUAUUUUGCUUCAAUUAUAUUUGCAUAAAUUAAAACAAUCAUAAAAUGAUGCAAAAAUACGAUAAACCGUAAUGGGGAUAUAAACUAUUGUGUAAUUUUUACUUAUUUAUGAGGAUAAAACCAAUAAUGAUAAUAAUAACAACAACGAUAAUAAUAAUAAUAAUAAUAAUGGCAGUGGGCUUGUAUAUGUAUGAUAAUUACUAAGUGGGAUCAUUUUAAUUUUUGAUCACAUAUCUUGGAUAUGUUUGUAUGUAUAUAUAAUACAUAUAUGUAUAUAUAUAUAUAUAUUUUUUUUUAAUUGAACUUUAUAAUAUACUUUCGUGGUACUAGAUAAAAUUGUAAUUACUUAUGAAUUAUGCAGAUUGUAUUAGACCGUGAUAUAUAAUUUAGUAUUGUUCUAGUAAGAAACUUCACUUACAAUAAAACUGAUAAAAAUAUCUAUUAUAAUAUAUAAAAAUUACAAUCGUUUUAAAGAUUCGUUUUAAUAAGCUACAAUUUUUUCAGCUAAUAAUCAAGGUAUAAGCACUCCUAUGAGUUCAAACAUUUCUUUUUACAGCGCAGUUAGGCUUUGUAGGAAAGAAAAUUGAAUUCAAAACUCUUCAAGCCGCCAACUUUCAAUUCUACAUGAAUAACUUUCAAUCUGCUGUAAUCAAAAUUCAUAUGAAACUAAUGAAUGGAAUAAAUAUUUUCUAAUAAUUAUUUGUAUGUCAGUACAUAUGAUUAUCUACUAAUUGAAUGGGAAGAAAAUAAUUCUUUCAGUGAUUCAGAAGGCUAUAAUAUUACUCGUUAUUAAUUUUAACACACAAUUGUGUAUUGAAAUGUGAAUACGCAAAGCUAUAUCGAAACCAUGGGAAUCACAGUUGAUAUCAUCCGAAAUAUUCAACACAAGUAGUAUUGAGACACAAUAAUCAGGCUAAUAGACGAAUACACUUAAUAGGCUGUGAUACAUGUAUAUUAAUGAAUACAAUAGACAGGGUGUCUACUGCAAUCGAGAAUUGAGAUUUCAGGACUAUUCCAGAAGUUUCCAGGA
rnacentral:lncRNA from 1 species